UCAUUUAGCCAUAAAUGAAAUAAUAAUAUGGUAUAAUAAAAUCGGAGGCCACGACUGUUUACUAAAAACACAAUUCAGAGCAAUGAUUAAGAUAAUAGUAUUCUGAAUGAAAUUUGCUCAAUGCCAUUAAUAUAAGAGAGAUAAUUUUAAAGUUAUUAAUCGAAAAUCUGGUUAAUAGCGGUCUUAACUAUGAGGAUUGAUAAAACCUACGGGUCCUCACUAAACUCGAUGAUAUGCUGGAACAUCCUAAAGCUUUAAAUACUAAUUAAUUAAAUAUUAUAUUAUUUAGAUUUUUUAGAUUUGUUAGUAACAAUUUUAAAGAUAUUACAAUGGACAAUCAGCAGGGAAUAUUUCAGUUUAUAGAAAUCGUAAAUUAAAAUUAAAUAAAAAAUUCAAUUUAAAAUAAUGAAAUAGCCUUCAGAGACUAGAUAAUUGAGCAAAUAAUGAAUAAUUAUUUGAUGAUAUAGUCCAACUUUAAUUGAAAGAUUAAAGGAUAUUGCCUAAGGUAGCAAAAUAAAUUGGCCAUUAAAUGUGGUCUUGUAUCAAUAAUGUAACGAUGGUCUCACUGUCUCUACAACUUGCUCAGUGAAAUUGAAUUGCGAGUGCAGAUGCUCGCUGUCUUCAGAGGGACGGGAAGACCCUAUGACCUUUCUACCCUGA
rnacentral:rRNA from 1 species